rnacentral:misc_RNA from 1 species
UUGGAGGGCAAGUCUGGUGCCAGCAGCCGCGGUAAUUCCAGCUCCAAUAGCGUAUAUUAAAGUUGUUGCAGUUAAAAAGCUCGUAGUCGAACUUUGGGCUCGGCCGGGUGGUCCGCUGCUUCGGUGGCGAGUACUGCCUUAUUCGCAGGCCGGGCCUUUCCUCCUGGGGAGCCGUGGCGCCGGGUUGCCUUCGGGCGGCCGGCCGCGGGGAGCCAGGACGUUUACCUUGAAAAAAUUAGAGUGUUCAACGCAGGCGCACGCUUGCAUAGAUUAGCAUGGAAUAAUGGAAUAGGACCUGUGGUUCUGUUUUGUUGGUUUCUGGAACCGCGGUAAUGAUUAAUAGGGAUAGUUGGG